CAUGUGGCGGAGGAACACACUCGAGGAAAGGAGGAGGCGAAACAACGUCUGCUCGACAAGGCGCUCACCUCUGGCGCUCCUGUAAUGUCUAUCUGUGUAUGCGUGUACGCGUGCCACCAUAUUCUUUCGAUUCGCCUUUGCGCGCUCAGCCGGUUGCCGGUGUGGCGCGUGUGCGCACAAGCGUCUUUAGCGCACCGCCACCCCUUCGCCCCCUUCCCAGGACCCCACCACCGGUCAUUCAGCUGCCGUCGUGGUUUGCGACUGCGCCCCACUCUUCCACUCUCCUCGCACCCCAUCCCCGCGCACCACUGCGACAGCUUGACGCAGUGGCGCGCCUCUUCCCUCUUUUCACCAUCUUGGUGGCCGGCUCUAGCUUCGUCGCUGUUUCGAGAGCGGUGGGCGGUGCUGGAAAGACGGAUCAAAAAUGUCGCUGCACUUCAACUGGAGUCGGCUAGAGGAGACGUGCGCAGAGGCGCUGCGCCAACUCAUCAACAAGCGUCUCGCCGAGGUGGUGGAGUGCAUCAACAGCCGAAAUGCCGCGCAGACAAGCAACGGCGCUGCCGGAUCAGCCUCAGCGGCCGCGAAGACGCGUGCAACCACUCCCACCACGGUCCCCGGUGGCGCAGGGCUUGCUGCCUCUUCCUCGGCCGGCGCUUACGGCGGUGGCGGCGGCAGCGCUGCUGGGGCGGGCAAGUCGGAAUACUCACUCAACGCCAGCAGCAACGGCUCCCCGCAGGAGAUGGUGGCUGGCUUCACCGCCAUCCCGGCGAGCGCGGCAGCCGGCGCCGCCACGAGUCGCUGGGAGUCCAUGUCUGACCCGUCGGCCAGCUCCACGCUCGCGAGCGUGGCGACACUGCACCCUUCUGGCACGCAGGCACCCCACAGCAGUGCUGGUCUGUCAGCAGUUGGAGCGGCGGCGCCAGCAUCGGCAGCAGAGAUGCCUCCACCUGGGAGUGCGGGCGGUUCAGUUGGCGGUAGCGGUGGCAGCGGCGUUGGCCCGGGCGUCUCUAUAUCAGGAUCAGCCAUCAGCACCGCCUCUCCGUUGCACAACAGCGGCUAUCACGGUGCAGGUGCAACCGUGCUUGCAGCAGACAUGCAUAAUGGCAAUAAUGGUGGCGGGCCAUCAGAGAGUGCCUCCUUCGCGGGUGAGCCGUCCGCUGCACCCGCCGCGGCCGUCUAUCGUACCCCUGUGGGCUCGUCGUGGCCGUGCUUCGGCUCAGCGAGCUCCACCGCAGCGGCGUCGUCCCCCUCCCCGGACGCAGCGGAAAGCGCGAGCAAGGUGCCGCCGAUUGUGUACUUGGAGGUGGGCCGAGUGGGAUGGGGGACGACUCCGCCGUUUGUCGAGAUCGUCGCCUUCGAAAACGCGAUUGACGGGCCGCCUGGCCGCACGCGCCAGCACCUUCACCGACAGCAGCAGGGCAGGGGACUCUUUGGUGGUGGCAGGGAGGGGCAGGGGACCACCGGGCCCGAGACGCGCGGAACUUUCCCGUACACCGUGAGCCAUUACAUGUCAACGGAAACUCUUAUGACCACCUCCACCGCCGCCGUGGAGCCUGGCGUGGGUUUCGCCGCCGCGGCGGACAACAUCAGCGAGUGCUCGCACGGGUUUCCUUCCCGCGCGCACACCGGGGCCAAGACUCCGCACCCGGUGACGGGGUCAAAUCGACUCUUCGACGGGGCAAGCACCGGCGGUGGCGGCGGUGCUGGGAGUGCUGAUAUGUCUCUCCACCAGCAGCCGUCUUCCUCCUCUCCCUCACAGUUUCCGUCGCAGCCGGAGCCGGUGGACUCGCUGACCUCGGUUCUGGGUCCUGGCGGCCUCUACGUGCGCUUCCACAUAACCUACGGCGGUGCGAUGCACCUGUCGCUGAACAUUGCGGUGCAGCAUGAGAUUCGACUCGGCGCUGUUGCACUGCGUGUCAGCCUGCCCAUGAUGUUCUGUAUCGCUAACCUCGACCUCGACUGCUACAUCUGCGUGAACAUGAAGCACAACAUGUGCGAGGUGUGGCUCGAGCCGGGCCCGCUCUCGCCGUCCGUGGUGAAUCGACUGAGCAUCACCGCCAUCGUCGGCGGAGACGACGAUGAUGGCGGCUCCUCGACUGACUUCUAUUCUCAUUUUGGCAGCAGCAGCAUCUCCGACGGCGACGGCGUUGAGGAGGGAAGCGGUGUGUACGUGAAUGAGCACGAGGUGUCGCAAUUUGUGUUGCAUGAGCUGCGCUCCAUCUUGCGCGAGACGCUCGUCGCACCACAUUCUGUUCGCAUACCGGUGUCCUUCGGCGGCAGCUAACCUCUAAAGGAAGGGGGGAGGGAGCGAGGGAACCGAAGCACGCGAGCGCGGCUAUUCUGCAACGCAUCGCCGCGGCAUGCACGUGCAUACAAAGGCCAAAUACGACGUGGAGAGGCAGUGGCAGGACUGCCAAUGACGGCAUGCGAGCCGCUGCGCCAGGAGUGCGUAUAUGUGUGCGCCACCUCCCACGGCGACUGCCCUCAUGGGAGGCGGAUCACCGCCGUAGCAAACGGCAGUGCCGCUACGAGUGUGCGGAGGAGAGGGCGCGGGAUCGUGGGUGUGUGCAGAGACGCAUUCAGCCUCCACCCUGCAACGCCGCACCCCUUUUCUGAACAUCGGCUCCCCUCUCGUCACCGUGUACGUAGCACUCUUUCUCACACGUUGCACGCGCACGACUGUCCCGACGCAGCCACAAGCUGAUGGCUGCACCCUCUCCUCUCCUGUGGUUAGGGACGAGCUCUCCUCCUCGCUGCCGAAUUCUCUUUCUUCUGUCUUUCGCCGUGUGCGAACUGUGUGCACCCCCGCCCGUCGUGAUGUGAUGGGCACCAUCCUUGCAGAGACUUUGUCGCGCUCUCCGUUUCCGCGGUAUCAUCUCUCCUGUCGACAAGGAAAGGCGGAGCACUCUUCUCGCAGCGUGGGCCGCUUGCGUGUGUGUGUGCCCCUGUCUGACUUGUGGGUGUUGCUUCGGGACGUGUGGGGCGUCUUCUCUUAUGGUGCGUUUACAUUGCUGUCGCGACUAUCACCAUCGCCACCACCCCUCACUGCCGUAAUAGAUACACAUCGGGGGGGGGAGAGAGAGAAACAAUACGCCGCUGCUCCUCACUCAUAUUGCCUGGCGUGUUUCUGUGACUGCGUGUUACACAGAAGGAAAGGGAAUGCCGGUCGACCCUCCCCCUACUCCUUUCCGUCUUCGCUUCUUCCCUCCCAUCGUAACGGAUUGUACAUGUGCAUAUAUGUGUGCAGCUGACCUUGACGCCUUCUUCGUCACCCACCCGCACCCCCCUUUGCCCUCGCUUUCUUUCCGCGCCCUGCACGGCUCUGCACGGCUGCGGCAG
rnacentral:misc_RNA from 1 species